rnacentral:rRNA from 1 species
GUGAAGAUGGUUUAAACUGAUAAAAAAUUGGUAUUUCCAUUGGUAUACAAACCUAUUGAAUUUUCUUUGAUGUUGCCGGUGUCAACUGCAUUUGUUGAGAGAGCAUUCUCAGCAAAGAAGAUUAUCAAGAAUAAGUUGUGUAGCAAGAUCAACAAUGAAUGGUUCAGUGACUUGAUGAUAUGUUACACCAAGCGGGAGCUAUUCAAGUCAGUCGAUGAUAAGGAUAUUAUUUGAACAUUCACAUCACUGAAGUCUCAGAAAGGACAUUUGCCUUGUGAUUUUGUUUAA